UACACACAUGGUUGCUUUGCAAGUGUGAACAGAGCGAGGUGCGCUGCCGCAGGUUCCCGGGCCAGUCGUCCACAGACCUCUGACUGCGAAGCUCAUAUCACAUUGACGCACAUACCUACGCCUGUCUGGAUCGCUCAAGUUCAUUUUUAAUAUUUAAUAAAACAAGAAAUUAAUUCGCCGGUUGCCGUGCUCCCCAAAGGAGUUCACAUCCUGAAGCCAUUCGUUCUGCAAAGAUGGUUCUAGCUAUGAAUAAAAAGAUCACAGGAAAGGCACUUUACAAGCUUUUAUGGGGCCACAGAAGCAACCAAGCUUUCCAUCCAGAUCGAAAAGUACGACAAGUUACUUUGGUGCAGAGCAACAUGGAAAAAUUAAGGAAGUAAUGUAUAAGCUAGCUAAUAUAGAAAUAGAGUUGAUUAAUGUUAAUAUUAUCAAUGGUUAACGUUAUAUUAUAAUAAUAAAAUACUUUUUAUUAAUUGCGGUUUGCAAUUGAUGCAUGUUACUUACGUGUAGAUUUUUAUGUAAUCUUCAAGUAGUUAGGGAACUACUUUAGGUACGAAACAAAAUUUAUUAGUACAAGUACUUUUUCAUUUAGUAUAAUAACAUGUAUUGUAAUUUUUGUAAUAUAUAUUUUUAAUGUCACCUAUAAUACGUGCAUACAAAUAGAAUGUAAGUAGCAAUAUGUAUAGAACUUCAUUUGGUUUAUGUUAAGAUUAGGUUUGAUUAGAUGUUAGAAUGUAUUGUUGUUAAAUGACGCACGCUUAAUUAGGUACGUCUAUAGUUUUAUGAAAAAUUGUUUUUAGUUAGGGGUGUAAGUGGCUCUUCCUGGACCUCUUGAGCCAAAGUCAACCUCUCCUGCCCGCGGCGCACCCUGCCGACUAGCGAACGAGGCUCUGGCGGAGACGCGGCGGACUCAGCUCCGCGUGUCACUCGUGCUCAACAAUAACAACAAGCCGAGUGCACCAUCGCGUCUCUAGUUUAUUAGUUAUUUUUUAUAGGUUAAGUUUAUAUCCAGAUCAUACGAACGACGAAUAAUACUUCAAUUAUACUUACUAGUUUUAAGUCAUAUAUAAUCUCAUAUUUAUUAGAUACUAAAAUAAGCAUUGUGUAUCAAUGUUAGUGUAGGUUUUUUCUCAAUUUUGAGAUUAUAGUAUAUUAUUAAAGUAGACAUCUUGAUACGGCUCUUGAUGUGAACUAUGUCAUAAUCUACUCGUAAUUUUUAAGAUGUACUUAAUCCCUGCAUCACACGCACAUUACGUUAUACUCGUAAUAGAAUAAGUUACAUAUUUAGUGGAACUAAUGUUAUGUAAUGGAAUAAACUUCACAAGUCAUUUACAACAAUUUAAUAUUAAGGAUUCUUUCUAGUUUUUGUGUCUCGUAGUAAAUAAAAUAAAAACUGAGGUGUCGUAUA